rnacentral:misc_RNA from 1 species
GAAAUGCGAUAAGUAGUGUGAAUUGCAGAAUUCAGUGAAUCAUCGAAUCUUUGAACGCACAUUGCGCCCUUUGGUAUUCCUUAGGGCAUGCCUGUUCGAGCGUCAUCUAAACCUUCAAGCCCUGCUUGGUGUUGGGUGCCUGUCCCGCCUCCGCGCGCGGACUCACCUCAAAUCCAUUGGCGGCCCCCGCGUCGGCCACGUGCGCAGCAGAAACGCGAACUCGUGAGCCCGUCCGGGCGGCUCCCAGAAGCUACACCCACCCAGUUUGACCUCGGAUCAGGUAGGGAUACCCGCUGAACUUAAGC